rnacentral:rRNA from 1 species
UGGCGGACGGGUGAGUAACACGUAGAGAACCUACCUUACACAGGGGGAUAACAGUUAGAAAUGACUGCUAAUACCGCAUAAGACCCCGGUACCGCAUGGUACAGAGGUAAAAACUGAGGUGGUGUAAGAUGGACCCGCGUCUGAUUAGGUAGUUGGUGAGGUAACGGCUCACCAAGCCGACGAUCAGUAGCCGGCCUGAGAGGGUGGACGGCCACAUUGGGACUGAGACACGGCCCAGACUCCUACGGGAGGCAGCAG